rnacentral:rRNA from 1 species
CAACAGACCCAAAGGGAAGAGCUCUAUGCUUACUCCGCCUUACCUCAGUAAAAGCAAUGUCCUGUGGCCGACCUUCGACUCCUUGAUCAUCCUUAUGUCAGACCAACUAGUUGGUGGGGUGAAGGCCUACCCAGGCCACUAUCUGUAGCUGGUACUGAGAGGAUGAUCCGCCACACUGGGACUGAGACACGGCCCAGACUCCUACGGGAGGCAGCAGUGGGGAAUAUUGGACAAUGGGCGAAAGCCUGAUCCAGCCAUGCCGCGUGUGUGAAGAAGGCCUUUUGGUUGUAAAGCACUUUAAGCGAGGAGGAGGCUACUGAGAUUAAUACUCUUGGAUAGUGGACGUUACUCGCAGAAUAAGCACCGGCUAACUCUGUGCCAGCAGCCGCGGUAAUACAGAGGGUGCGAGCGUUAAUCGGAUUUACUGGGCGUAAA